UUGUAGGCUGCAACUCGCCUACAUGAAGUCGGAAUCGCUAGUAAUCGCGGAUCAGCAUGCCGCGGUGAAUACGUUCCCGGGCCUUGUACACACCGCCCGUCACACCAUGAGAGUUUGUAACACCCAAAGCCGGUGGGGUAACCUUUUGGAGCCAGCCGUCUAAGGUGGGACAGAUGAUUGGGGUGAAGUCGUAACAAGGUAUC
rnacentral:rRNA from 1 species